rnacentral:tRNA from 1 species
GGUGUAGCUUAGUGGUAGAGGGUAUGCUUAACAUGCAUGAGGUCCUGGGUUCCAUCCCCAGUCCCACCA